CGUAGGUGGCAAGCGUUGUCCGGAAUUAUUGGGCGUAAAGCGCGCGCAGGCGGUUCCUUAAGUCUGAUGUGAAAGCCCCCGGCUCAACCGGGGAAGGUCAUUGGAAACUGGGGAACUUGAGUGCAGAAGAGAAGAGCGGAAUUCCACGUGUAGCGGUGAAAUGCGUAGAGAUGUGGAGGAACACCAGUGGCGAAGGCGGCUCUUUGGUCUGUAACUGACGCUGAGGCGCGAAAGCGUGGGGGAGCAAACAGGAUUAGAUACCCUGGUAGUCCACGCCGUAAACGAUGAGUGCUAAGUGUUAGAGGGUUUCCGCCCUUUAGUGCUGCAGCUAACGCAUUAAGCACUCCGCCUGGGGAGUACGGCCGCAAGGCUG
rnacentral:rRNA from 1 species